ensembl:lncRNA
GUUGGUAAGAGAGGUGCGAAUAAGAAAUACAGCGAGUAGGGCGAGACGGGAAGUGAUCUAUUUCUAUAGACAGAAAAAAUGCUGAACAAGGCGAAAAAGAAAGAAGACUUGUUGACAAUAUUGCCUUUUGUAAUAUCUGCAGAGGAAGCGGUUUGGGAUUUUUUUUGUGUAUUAUUUUGUGGGUUAUCUGCAUAAGUGGUGCGGUCUCCAACAUUAAGCCCACCCAUGAAGUAGACUUUAAUAGUAACAGUAACGCCAACAAAAGAAUUGAUUCCAACAAUGAUGCUGAGCAGGACGUUGUCACAAACACACAUAUCAACCAGAAAGUCGACUCAAACAGCAGAAAUCUAACAGAAGCAUCUACCAAAGUCACCAAAAACAGUAACAGGAGCCAUGGAGAUGAUUCCAAAAGAUAACACCAACAGUAGCAGCCAGGAAGUAGACUAGAACGUUAUUCAAUUCAAUUCAGUUCAGAUUUAUUUAUAUAGCGCAUUUAACAAUGGAUAUUAUCCCUAAGCAGCUUUACAGAAAUGUAUAAAUUCAGGAUAUAGAUUUUAAAAUGUAUGAAUUUUUCCCUAAUGAGCAGCCAGAGGCGACGGUGGUGAGGAAAAACUCCCCGAGACGAUAUGAGACAGAAACCGUGAGAGGUACCAGACUCGGAAGGAAACACGUCCUCAUCUGGGUGACACGACAGAAAGUCAUCUCAAUCAAUAACAUCAACUAGAAAGUUGACUUUCACAGUAAUGAGAGUCAGGACACCGUCUCAAACAGAAAAACCAACCAGGAAGUUGACUAAAUAGGAAAAGUAAUGCCAAAGAGUAAACUGAAACUAAAGUUUAUUCCAAUGUAAAAGAGAAGCACCAACCAGGACAUUAAUACCAAAGGUAAUGCCAACAAGGACAUUAAUACCAACAGUAAUGCCAACCAGGACAUUAAUACCAACAGUAAUGCCAACCAGGACAUUAAUACCAACAGUAAUGCCAACAAGGACAUUAAUACCAACAGUAAUGCCAACCAGGACAUUAAUACCAACAGUAAUGCAAACCAGGAUAUUAAUACCAAAGGUAAUGCCAACAAGGACAUUAAUACCAACAAUAAUGCCAACCAGGACAUUAAUACCAACAGUAAUGCAAACCAGGAUAUUAAUACCAACAGUAAUGCCAACAAGGACAUUAAUACCAACAAUAAUGGCAACCAGGACAUUAAUACCAACAGUAAUGGCAACCAGGACAUUAAUACCAACAGUAAUGGCAACCAGGACAUUAAUACCAACAGUAAUGGCAACCAGGAAGUUAAUACCAAUAAUACUGGCAACCAGGAAGUUAAUACCAACAGUAAUGGCAACCAGGACAUUAAUACCAACAGUAAUGGCAACCAGGACAUUAAUACCAACAGUAAUGGCAACCAGGAAGUUAAUACCAAUAAUACUGGCAACCAGGAAGUUAAUAUCAACAGUAAUGCCAAGCAGGAAGUCAACCAGAAAGUCAUAAUAAACACUAAUGGCAAAUACACAGUUGACUACAACCAGGAAGCCACCUCCAACAUUAACACCAAACAGGAAGUGGACUCAAAUAGUGACGUCAACCAUGAAGUUGAACACUGACUCAAAUAGCAGCAAGAACCAGAAAGUCAACUUUAACAGUAUUGCCAAACAGGAAGUAGACUGCAACAGUAACACACAUUAUAAAGUGCACUCAAAUGGUCUAAUCAAACCGUAACAAAAAACACAACUCCAACAGAAAUGCUAACCAGGAAGUGAACUAGAAAUUGGACUAAAAAAGUAAUGUCAGCCAGGAAGUCGACUCAAAGAGUCAGGAGGUUGCAAAACUGUAAAUCCACCAUGCAGAUCCGUCUCGCCCGGUGAUGGUGGAACAAAAAAAAAAAAACCCUUCUGUCCUUCCACCAAUGAAACAGGAGGGCUAUUUGGUCAAGUCUUUUAUUUUCAAUUUAUUCACAGCAGUCCUUCACAGAGAUAUCUAUUUAACAACAGCUACUUCUUUACAAAUAAAUCCUGUUCGGCAUUUAUUCUGUCUGUAAAAAGAGAUUGUUCCUGACGCACUUCUAAUAAUACACCCAUGUGCUUUUCCUCUUCUGUGCACAUGCUGGGGAAAUUCACCUGGCUGUUACACGCCCAUCUGUCCCUGCAGAUAUUCCGAGCGUCUGCUCUUGAUUUGGUUAAUGAGGGGUAUUGUGCAGAGUGGAUUCAGAGGGAAGCUACUCAUAACAGGCUGGAGGAAAGCUAAUGGGGAAUGACAGUGGAGCUAAACACUCUGUGAGCACAGAAUGGCCCCUGGAUACUUUAAAGUGUGCUUGGUAUGGAAGAG